rnacentral:rRNA from 1 species
UUUCCACGUUUUUUUUAAGGGGGGGGGGUAGCAAGAAAUAACAAUACAGGACUUUAAAUAGUUUUGUAAUUGGAAUGAGUUAAGUAUAAACCCCUUUACAAGUAUCAAUUGGAGGGCAAGUCUGGUGCCAGCAGCCGCGGUAAUUCCAGCUCCAAUAGCGUAUAUUAAAGUUGUUGCAGUUAAAAAGCUCGUAGUUGGAUUUCUGUUAAUAAUUUAUAUAUAAUAUUUUAUUAAUAUUUAUAUAGUAUUAACAUAAUUCAUAUUACUAUAUUUUAUAGUAUAUGAAAUUUUACUUUGAGAAAAUUAGAGUGCUUAAAGCAGGCAUUAGCCUUGAAUACUCCAGCAUGGAAUAAUAUAAAAGAUUUUUAUCUUUUUUAUUGGUUCUAAGAUAAAAAUAAUGAUUAAUAGGGACAGUUGGGGGCAUUUGUAUUUAACAGUCAGAGGUGAAAUUCUUAGAUUUGUUAAAGACAAACUAGUGCGAAAGCAUUUGCCAAGGAUGUUUUCAUUAAUCAAGAACGAAAGUUAGGGGAUCGAAGACGAUCAGAUACCGUCGUAGUCUAACCAUAAGCAUGCAGACAGU